UGGGGAAUAUUGCACAAUGGGCGAAAGCCUGAUGCAGCGACGCCGCGUGAGGGAUGACGGCCUUCGGGUUGUAAACCUCUUUCAGCAGGGAAGAAGCGAAAGUGACGGUACCUGCAGAAGAAGCGCCGGCUAACUACGUGCCAGCAGCCGCGGUAAUACGUAGGGCGCAAGCGUUGUCCGGAAUUAUUGGGCGUAAAGAGCUCGUAGGCGGUUAGUCGCGUCUGCUGUGAGAACUCGAGGCUCAACCUCGGGCUUGCAGUGGGUACGGGCUGACUAGAGUGCGGUAGGGGUGACUGGAAUUCCUGGUGUAGCGGUGGAAUGCGCAGAUAUCAGGAGGAACACCGAUGGCGAAGGCAGGUCACUGGGCCGCAACUGACGCUGAGGAGCGAAAGCAUGGGGAGCGAACAGGAUUAGAUACCCUGGUAGUCCAUGCCGUAAACGUUGGGCACUAGGUGUGGGGUCCAUUCCACGGAUUCCGUGCCGCAGCAAACGCAUUAAGUGCCCCGCCUGGGGAGUACGGCCGCAAGGCUAAACUCAAAGGAAUUGACGGGGUCAUAGCUGUUUCCUG
rnacentral:rRNA from 1 species